rnacentral:rRNA from 1 species
AUUCAAUAAGCGGAGGAAAAGAAACUAACAAGGAUUCCCCUAGUAACUGCGAGUGAAGCGGGAAAAGCUCAAAUUUAAAAUCUGGCAGUCUUUGGCUGUCCGAGUUGUAAUCUAGAGAAGUGCUGCCCGCGCUGGACCGUGUACAAGUCUCCUGGGAUGGAGCGUCAUAGAGGGUGAGAAUCCCGUCUCUGACACGGACUACCAGGGCUUUGUGGUACGCUCUCAAAGAGUCGAGUUGUUUGGGAAUGCAGCUCUAAAUGGGUGGUAAAUUCCAUCUAAAGCUAAAUAUUGGCGAGAGACCGAUAGCGAACAAGUACCGUGAGGGAAAGAUGAAAAGAACUUUGGAAAGAGAGUUAAACAGUACGUGAAAUUGCUGAAAGGGAAACGCUUGAAGUCAGUCGCGUUGGCCAGGGAUCAGCCCCGCUCUGCGUGGUGUACUUUCUGGUUAACGGGUCAGCAUCAAUUUUGACUACUGGAAAAAGGCUUGGGGAAUGUGGCAGCUUUGGCUGUGUUAUAGCCCUUUGUCAUAUACAGUGGUUGGGAUUGAGGAACUCAGCACGCCGUAAGGCCGGGUUUCGACCACGUUCGUGCUUAGGAUGCUGGCAUAAUGGCUUUAAGCGACCCGUCUUGAAACACGGACCAAGGAGUCUAACAUGCCUGCGAGUGUUUGGGUGGAAAACCCGAGCGCGUAAUGAAAGUGAAAGUUGAGAUCCCUGUCGUGGGGAGCAUCGACGCCCGGACCAGAACUGUUGGGACGGAUCCGCGGUAGAGCAUGUAUGUUGGGACCCGAAAGAUGGUGAACUAUGCCUGAAUAGGGUGAAGCCAGAGGAAACUCUGGUGGAGGCUCGUAGCGAUUCUGACGUGCAAAUCGAUCGUCAAAUUUGGGUAUAGGGGCGAAAGACUAAUCGAACCAUCUAGUAGCUGGU